rnacentral:rRNA from 1 species
CCCUUAGACGUUCUGGGCCGCACGCGCGCUACACUGACGAAGGCAACGAGCUUUCCUUUACCGAAAGGUACGGGUAAUCUUUUGAAACUUCGUCGUGCUGGGGAUAGAUCCUUGCAAUUUUUGAUCUUAAACGAGGAAUGCCUAGUAAGCGCAAGUCAUCAACUUGCGUUGAUUACGUCCCUGCCCUUUGUACACACCGCCCGUCGCUACUACCGAUUGAAUGGUUUAGUGAGGCCUUCGGAUCCGCGACUCGUUUGUGGAGAAGUUGGACAAACUCAGUCAUUUAGAGGAAGUAAAAGUCGUAACAA